CAGUAGCCGCGGUAAUACGAAGGUCCCGAGCGUUGUUCGGAAUCACUGGGCGUAAAGGGAGCGUAGGCGGCGUGGUAAGUCAGAUGUGAAAUCCCGGGGCUCAACCCCGGAACUGCAUCCGAUACUGCCAUGCUAGAGGAUUGGAGAGGUAGCUGGAAUUCUUGGUGUAGCAGUGAAAUGCGUGGAGAUCAAGAGGAACACUCGUGGCGAAAGCGAGCUACUGGACAAUAACUGACGCUGAGGCUCGAAGGCCAGGGUAGCGAAAGGGAUUAGAUACCCCUGUAGUCCCUGUCUCUUAUAC
rnacentral:rRNA from 1 species